GAUGAACGCUGGCGGCGUGCCUAAUACAUGCAAGUCGAGCGAACAGACGAGGAGCUUGCUCCUCUGACGUUAGCGGCGGACGGGUGAGUAACACGUGGAUAACCUACCUAUAAGACUGGGAUAACUUCGGGAAACCGGAGCUAAUACCGGAUAAUAUAUUGAACCGCAUGGUUCAAUAGUGAAAGACGGUUUUGCUGUCACUUAUAGAUGGAUCCGCGCCGCAUUAGCUAGUUGGUAAGGUAACGGCUUACCAAGGCAACGAUGCGUAGCCGACCUGAGAGGGGGAUCCGCCCCCCUUGAACUUGGACCCGGUCCCGGCUCCUACGGGAGGCAGCAGUAGCGAAUCUUCCGCAAUGGGCGAAAGCCUGACGGAGCAACGCCGCGUGAGUGAUGAAGGUCUUCGGAUCGUAAAACUCUGUUAUUAGGGAAGAACAAAUGUGUAAGUAACUAUGCACGUCUUGACGGUACCUAAUCAGAAAGCCACGGCUAACUACGUG
rnacentral:rRNA from 1 species